rnacentral:lncRNA from 1 species
UUUCCGGGGAUCCCACGCUCCGGAAUGUGUGCCGGCCACACGGUGUGUGUGAUUUGCUUCUGUCCCCACUGAGCUUGGCCGGCCCCCAACGUCCCGAUCCCAGCAUACGAGGCAGAGUGAGACACAGCCCUCCUCGCAGGCAGACACCGGCUCCCGUUUGGGGAAUCUGCCCCCCGAGACACGUGUCCAGCUCCUUAGGGAAAGAGUCGUGAUAAAAGCUUGGACUUUCUCAGAUUCCACUUCCCUCCGGAGGGCCGCCCGGAGCUCUCCCUGUCCGGCUCGGGGACGGGGGUCUGCGGAAACAGAAGCAGGGGGAAGAUCUCCGGCUGAAAAUCCGGAAGCUUCUCCAGCAUAUCCUAGGGGCUCCUUCACAGAAAGAAGUUUCUGCAUCUGUCCAAUGGGCAUUCAGACUCGUUGGCUUAAUGGAAGAAGCCGUGUUUGCAUUCCUCUUCUGAGGCCGAACCCCCAGAUGCUCUGGCAGAUUCCACGUGGAGUCUGAGCAGACAUGAGUACGGCUGGGAAAGGGACGGGGCAGGCACAGGAUUUCUGCCCGAAGGUUCUCCUGUCCACCGAGCUGUGUUCCAGUGAGGAUGUCCUGCUUUUCUCGUACUUCUGUGUGUUUCUGUUUCCUCCUUUGUCCUAGUGAGCGUUAUUUAAAAAAAAAAAAAAUCUUUUUGGUCAUAUGGAACUGUCCUUUUUUAGGGGAGGGGGGGAGUACUAAAAUGAUACUGAGUAACAGGAAGUUAAUCUCCUUCGUCUGGUAAUGCAGGCUUCUAGUAAGUUAAUUGGAUUUUCUACCUAAACGUGGAUAAAGUCAUUUACGCAGCAACAUUUCUCCAGAUGAGAUCGCUCGCUUAGAAUGCAGCGUGGCUCUGGUCUUCGGGCUCUCGGGCAUGAAUUGUGACGCUUGUCUGUAAACCUCGUUCCCUUGGACACGUCCUUACAGGUAAAUAAAUCAGCAAAGGAACGAUUAGUUCCUAGGCCC